AUUGAACGCUGGCGGCAGGCUUAACACAUGCAAGUCGAGCGGUAGCACAAGAGAGCUUGCUCUCUGGGUGACGAGCGGCGGACGGGUGAGUAAUGUCUGGGAAACUGCCUGAUGGAGGGGGAUAACUACUGGAAACGGUAGCUAAUACCGCAUAACGUCGCAAGACCAAAGAGGGGGACCUUCGGGCCUCUUGCCAUCGGAUGUGCCCAGAUGGGAUUAGCUAGUAGGUGGGGUAAUGGCUCACCUAGGCGACGAUCCCUAGCUGGUCUGAGAGGAUGACCAGCCACACUGGAACUGAGACACGGUCCAGACUCCUACGGGAGGCAGCAGUGGGGAAUAUUGCACAAUGGGCGCAAGCCUGAUGCAGCCAUGCCGCGUGUGUGAAGAAGGCCUUCGGGUUGUAAAGCACUUUCAGCGAGGAGGAAGGUGGUGAACUUAAUACGUUCAUCAAUUGACGUUACUCGCAGAAGAAGCACCGGCUAACUCCGUG
rnacentral:rRNA from 1 species